rnacentral:lncRNA from 1 species
CCCAUGCUGCCCUCGGACCCUCCAAAUGCCCACAAGGAAUCCCAGGGCUUCACUCUCUUGCUGCACAAUUGGGAUUGUGUCACCUUUGUCUCUGGACCUUCUAGAAAAAGGAGGGUGGGAUUGGAUACUCCUGAGUUUAGAGCUCCGUGCAAAACAAAGUCACAGUAAAGUGUGAUGAUCUGGUAAGGGGGAAGAGAGGCUGUCUUUUCAGAGACUCCUUUUCCCUCCCUCUAAUGAAUGCAAGAACUGUGCUUAACCCAGGGGAGCUGGGAGCCAACCUGUAAACCGAAUCCUCCAAGGCCAGCUUGGGCUGUGACUUCAUUCAUUCAAAUCAUCCACCAAGCAUUAUUUUGUGUUAGAAAUACAGCAGUGAACAUAUCCUCUCCUCCUCUUUUCUUUAGACCUGCAGGGCCUGAAGAGGCAGCCCCACGUCGGAAGGGACAAGAAGUUAAUGAGAAAAUUACAAAAUUUACAUAGAGGGGCAAGAGACCAGCUACACACAUCUGCGGUCAAAAGCAGAUCUCAUCCAAGUAAAGUGCUACCCUCACUCUUUGAGGCAGGAUAUGAUUGCAGCGCUGUCCCUCUCAUGCUGGCUGUGGCCCUGACAUCUGUGCCUGCAGCGUCUGGGAGGUCCCUCCUUCUGGAGGCCGGGAGCCUCAUACUGUUCAGGUCCCUGCUGCCAAGAGUCAGAUAGGCCGCUCCCCUGAGGAUCCCAGGUUUGGGCCCAGCACAGCCGAAAGACCCUCUCUUGUAGCCUGGAGUAAUUUCCACACAGGCCACAGAGACUUCACACAUUCCAGAACCAGGCAGAUUUUCAGAAAUGGGAGCUGCUAUUGGCUGGUGCAUCAUCUCAUGUCUCUCCGACCCACGCAAGCUGAACAGCCUCCAGCCUCAUUGGUGACACCCUGCUGGCAUUGAGGGCCAAGACAGAAUGGUUCUGAGCUGCCUCUGCAUGCCUGAAGACCUCAGCCUGCCGCCCGCUGCCCCAGUAACUCAGGGGGUCCCCAGCCCUCAGCAGCACACCUGCCCUGUUCCUCCACUUGGACUCCUCAUCAAGGGUCCUUGUCCACCCCUCAUGCUGACCCCCUUGCCAUGAGUGUUGCAACGUCCACACCACAGUGCUGUCCCCACAUGCUCCCGCAGUACCCUAGGUCCCUCCAAGAGCCCCACCCCCACACUCUGGCUCUACCUCUGUAUCCACCUGGCUUCUAAACCGGAGUCCUCCCCACAUCCAUUCAGGCCCCAGGUGUCCCAGGGGACUCACCAGGUGGUGAACUUCUACAAAUCCCCAUUGGGACCCCCGGAUAACUGAGUUGAAUAUUAUUUUACAGAUAAUGAAACUGAAACAAUUUUUUUUUCUUUUGAGACAGGGUCUCGCUCAGCCUCAAACUCCUGGGCUCAAGCACUCCUCCUGCCUCAGCCUCCCAAGUAGUUAAGACCACAGGCGUGCACCACCAUGCCCAGCUAAUUGUUUUUAUUUUUUGUAGAGAUGGGGUCUCACCUUGCUGGUCCCAAACUCCUGGGCUCAAGUAAUCCUCCCACCUCAGCUUCCCAAAGUGCUGAGAUCACAGGUGUGAACCACUGUGACCGGCUGGAAGCAAUAUUUUAAAACCUGGAAUUCAAAUAACAGGGCACCAGCUGUGGAAUAUACACCUACGCAAGAGGAAUGGCAAGAGAAGAGAUCAUCCCGACCCCGUUGGUGGGCUGGAUGGAGCAACUUCCGCAGGAACGAGGCACCUCGGAGGCCUCUACUGGCUGAGAGCAGCAUCCUGACCAGACAGCAAGCCCCAGAGGGUCUGGGGGGAUCCAAACCCACCCCUGCACAGGUUUGCUGUGAACCAGGUGGGAGGGAGGGAAGAUGGGAACGAAGGUGAGAGAGGCCUGGGGGCCCGUGAGCAUGAACUUGGAGUGCUGAGCACUCACCUAAAUGACAGCAUCAGCGGGGCAGGGGGCAUCCUGCCUUCUGCCUCCCUGAAUUCACAGCUGGAAAGUGAUCCAGGUCAUGCAGACUCACUCCCACUGACUCAUUUGUCUCACUCCAAGCACUCGUUUCCCGGCUCCACUUGCUACUUCCUUGCAGGUCUUGGGCACCAAUUCCAGAUUCCUGGACCUGUCAUUCUCUGGGAGAAGGGUCCUGCUCUGAACCACACCAAGCCAGGGGCUUUCUCCAGAUCACCAGCCUCAUUUGGCAGAUGAGUGAAAUGUGGCUCAGACAUGCCCGGAAACUUGGCCAUGAUCACAGAGCUGACAAUGGGCAGAGGAGGGAUGGGAACAGGAUCUGCCUGACCCCAGAAACCCAUGCCCUUCCCAGAGCAUCCAUGGCCUUACACAGGCCCGCCUUUCCCGGCCUGCUUCAACCUCCUUGGCCUCCCACAUGGCAUUCACCAAUCUGCCUGCUUGGCCAGGUCUCCCCUGCCUUUUCCACUCAUCUCACACUUUAAGCCCACCUCCUUCAGGAAGCCCUCCCUGCUCAUCAUAACAGGUAUUAGAUAUUGAUACUCCUACAUACACACACACACACACACACACCACCCACCCCCAGAGUAUACACAAUCCUACAUUAUUUUCCAAAAGUUUCUCCUAUUAAAUCACUCCCCUGAACUCUACCAGGUAUCUGUAAUAACAGUGGGCAUACAGCAAGUAGUCCAUAACUAUUCUUUGGACUUGAACUAAAAUUCAUCCCCUUUCUUCUGCCACCUUCUUGCAUCAAGGACUUCAGCCUGAAACCAAGGCAGGCAUGAAGAGAAGCCGAUUUGGGGCUGCAGUCUAAGUGCCUUUACCUGACAGCUCCACAUGAAGAGACCGGCCAGGGCUCUUUGCUCCUGGCCAGGAGGCCCCAGGAGGGAAGGAUUCCCUGCAUCCCAGGGAUCACAAGUCAGGGAGGCCCUCAGUGAACAUUAACUAUGAUGACGACGUAAACAUCAUGUCUCAAAGGCACUAGCUGAGACUCCAAGGAUAAAUGAAGGUUGGUGAGCAGUGGGGAAUGGGUGGCUGGUGCUCUGAGCUGUGCUUGCCCAGCGCUGAGGCCUUGGACUGGCCCCUCACCUCCCUGCCUUCACUUCCUCCCACUGGAUUCCGCAUCCUCCAGAUCCCAGUCUGGGUGUGCCAUGGCUUUCCUAGGAACCUCCCUCGGGCCUGCUCCAUCAGGGAUGCAGUGGGCGGAACUACCAAUCAUGGCUGCAGUCUGGCUGCAGGGGGCCUGGCAAGGUGCCCUGAGCUCCCCUGGGCAGGUGAGUGAAAACCUGCCGGCGGGGGCUGCAGCCUCAUGCGUUUGUGAUCACAACCAACUCAGGCAGUUUUUGGUUUCACGUUUUCCUUCAUUUUCCCUUGAGGGGCACCUCAUACUGGGAAUCCCAACCCCUUUGCCAGGAGCUCUCACGCAAGGAAGGGCUCUGGGCAGUUCUGCUCUUAGAGCUGGGCCCUGCCCGGCCCACAGCACCAGGCUGGGAGUUACUGCAGGUUGGGACUCCAUCUGAUCCGCUCCAGAGAACUCAGCAAAUGCUGGGCUGGUGCUCUACAUGACACACUUGAAGUUUGUAAUUCAUUUCCAAAGUAACAUAUACUCAUUAAAGAAAAUUUGGAAAAUGCAUAAAAGCAAAAAUGUAAUAUCACAUAAGAAGCAUCACCUAUAAUUCCACCAGCUAUAGAUGUCUGCUUCUUACAUUCUGGGAUCUUUUCUUUCAGGUGUUUCUAUGCCUCUAUACUUUAAAAACAAACAAAUAAACGAACACCAAAGCGGAUUAUAUUAAGCACUGUUUUGAUACCUGCUAAGCCGAGGCAGCUC